UUGGCGCAUGCGCUAAGCGGCGAGGGCCCGGCCGGAUUGAAAGCAGUGGCUUGGGUAUCCUACCCGUCUGCGGUGGAGGAGUUGAUGCCCCGACUCUUGCAAAUGGAACACUGCGACUUGAUAGAAAGUUUCAGUAGCAACGUACCUACCAAGAACUCCUUACGAAUACCUGCGGCUGGUCCAUUGAACGAUUUGACCCUGAGCAGCUUUCAGGAUGCCAGCCUGCGCCAAAGCAUGUUCCCCCACACUUCAGUGGCAACAGCAACAAGUGGCACAGUUUCCAACUGUUCAGCAAGUGUGAACAGACGUAGAAGUCACUGGAAAUCACAGCAGUUGGAUAGUAACGUGACCACAGUAUGUUUCUCUGUUUAGGUUGUACAGUGUAUAACUAUUUGAAAUAGUUCAUAUUGGAGUUCCCUGGUGGCUCAGCAGAUUAGGGAUCCAGCAUCAUCACUACUGUGGCCUGAGUUCACUCCCUGGUCCCAGGAACUUCCCUUGCUGCAGGCAUUUCCCCCACCACCACCCCCCAAAACAAGAAACAGUCCAUAUUUCCUCAUUGUUCUUAAAGAUUCACUUGCUUAAUCCAUAUUAUUUUCAUUCUCUCCCAUCUACAUUAAUAGUAAUAAUUCCAUUAUCUUAGUAGCCUGAAAAGUAUACAAUCAGUAAUGCACAUUAUUUUCAUGACAGUUUAAUCCACAACAUCUUGAGAGACUUUGGAUUGGUUUCCACAAGUUUUUAAGGGUUCUUAUAGACAUUUGCUUUUUAUGAACUUCAGUGCAUUUUCAGUAUUUACAAAAAGACCGAGUAAAGGCUUAUUGGAUUUUCCUGAUGAGGUAUGUUGUCAAUACCAGUGAGUGACAUUUUAUUAAAGCUUGUCAUGCUUAAUAGAAAGUAGUAUUUCCUACUUUCACCAUCUUAGAUAUACUUUUAAGCUCUUUAGUAGAUAUGUUAUGUUUGGCCUAAUGGAUAAAAAAGGGUGUUGGGGAAGAGGUGGAUCCCAUUAUUCCAAAACAAUACUUUUUAUUUUAUUAUUUUUUUAAUGGCCAUAGCCAAGGCAUGUGAAAUUUCCCAGGUCAGGAAUUGAAUCUGAGCUGCAGCUGCAGCAAUGCUGGAUCCUUUAACCCACUGUGCCAGUCCGGAGGAUCAAACCCGCACCUCCACAGCAACCUGAGCCACUGCAGUCAGAUAUUUAACUCUCUGCGCCACAGCAGGAACGAUACUUUUAACCCCAUAUUGUUCCUGAGAAUCAAAUGAAAACUAUCUCUUCAGAGGGGAAAAAAAAAAA
ensembl:lncRNA